AAAGGUUUAAAUCACACAUUAUCUUUCAGACUUGAGACUAAAUUUUUACAAUUAUGUCUAUCACAGUGGCAGCCAGCGUUCAGAUAAAACCAAGAGUGAUGUGAGCAUUGGUGAAGAAAUUGAAGAGGACAUCUCCAUCGAAGGAGAAGAUUUUGCUAUCAGUGAUAAGCUUGACGAUCUCACACAAGACCACACCAUCUCACAGUUUAGCGAUGUGGCCGAUUAUUUAGAGGAGGUUUCAUAGAAGCUCUGGCCUUUGGAUGAACUGCACUGUACA